CCUACGGGUGGCAGCAGUGAGGAAUAUUGGUCGAUGGGCGCGAGCCUGAACCAGCCAAGUCGCGUGAGGGAUGACGGUCCUACGGAUUGUAAACCUCUUUUGCCGGGGAGCAAGCGUGGGGUCGUGAACGCGCGUCGAGAGUAACGGGAGAAAAAGCAUCGGCUAAGUCCGUGCCAGCAGCCGCGGUAAGACGGAGGAUGCGAGCGUGAUCCGUAUUCAUUGGGUUAAAAGGGUGAGUAGGCGGGAUGCCAAGUCAGCGGUAAAAAUGCGGUGCUCAACGCCGUCGAGCCGUUGAAACUGGCGUUCUUGAGUGGGCGAGAAGUAUGCGGAAUGCGUGGUGUAGCGGUGCAAUGCAUAGAUAUCACGCAGAACUCCGAUUGCGAAGGCAGCAUACCGGCGCCCUACUGACGCUGAGGCACGAAAGCGUGGGUAUCGAACAGGAUUAGAUACCCGUGUAGUC
rnacentral:rRNA from 1 species